UUGGCAACUCUGGAGGCUGGUGUUCUCUGUCUACAGUCUGCAGAACAAGUUCAGCAUGUGGAACAGCAGGGCAGGAUUCUCCAUUGCACCUGCCUGUGUGUCUAAACCUUGGCCUGGAGGGACCAUCUCUAAGGGCUAAGGGGGUAGUUCAGCAUUACAUGCUCAUUCAUUCCUUGGCCUCG
rnacentral:sRNA from 1 species